UGCCAGCAGCCGCGGUAAUACGGAGGGGGUUAGCGUUGUUCGGAAUUACUGGGCGUAAAGCGCACGUAGGCGGACUGGAAAGUUGGGGGUGAAAUCCCGGGGCUCAACCUCGGAACUGCCUCCAAAACUACUAGUCUAGAGUUCGAGAGAGGUGAGUGGAAUUCCGAGUGUAGAGGUGAAAUUCGUAGAUAUUCGGAGGAACACCAGUGGCGAAGGCGGCUCACUGGCUCGAUACUGACGCUGAGGUGCGAAAGUGUGGGGAGCAAACAGGAUUAGAUA
rnacentral:rRNA from 1 species